UGCUAAUACCGCAUAAGCCCACGGGUCGGCAUCGACCAGAGGGAAAAGGAGCAAUCCGCUUUGAGAUGGCCUCGCGUCCGAUUAGCUAGUUGGUGAGGUAACGGCCCACCAAGGCGACGAUCGGUAGCCGGACUGAGAGGUUGAACGGCCACAUUGGGACUGAGACACGGCCCAGACUCCUACGGGAGGCAGCAGUGGGGAAUAUUGCACAAUGGGGGAAACCCUGAUGCAGCGACGCCGCGUGGAGGAAGAAGGUCUUCGGGUUGUAAACUCCUGUUGUUGAGGAAGAUAAUGACGGUACUCAACAAGGAAGUGACGGCUAACUACGUGCCAGCAGCCGCGGUAAAACGUAGGUCGCAAGCGUUGUCCGGAAUUACUGGGUGUAAAGGGAGCGCAGGCGGGAAGACAAGUUGGAAGUGAAAUCCAUGGGCUUAACCCAUGAACUGCUUUCAAAACUGUUUUUCUUGAGUAGUGCAGAGGUAGGCGGAAUUCCCGGUGUAGCGGUGGAAUGCGUAGAUAUCGGGAGGAACACCAGUGGCGAAGGCGGCCUACUGGGCACCAACUGACGCUGAGGCUCGAAAGUGUGGGUAGCAAACAGGAUUAGAUACCCUGGUAGUCCACACCGUAAACGAUGAUUACUAGGUGUUGGAGGAUUGACCCCUUCAGUGCCGCAGUUAACACAAUAAGUAAUCCACCUGGGGAGUACGACCGCAAGGUUGAAACUCAAAGGAAUUGACGGGGGCCCGCACAAGCAGUGGAGUAUGUGGUUUAAUUCGACGCAACGCGAAGAACCUUACCCAGUCUUGACAUCCGUUGACCGCUGUAGAAAUACAGUUUUCCUUCGGGACAGCGAGACAGGUGGUGCAUGGUUGUCGUCAGCUCGUGUCGUGAGAUGUUGGGUUAAGUCCCGCAACGAGCGCAACCCUUAUGGUCAGUUACUACGCAAGAGGACUCUGGCCAGACUGCCGUUGACAAAACGGAGGAAGGUGGGGAUGACGUCAAAUCAUCAUGCCCUUUAUGACUUGGGCUACACACGUACUACAAUGGCGUUAAACAAAGAGAAGCAAGACCGCGAGGUGGAGCAAAACUCAGAAACAACGUCCCAGUUCGGACUGCAGGCUGCAACUCGCCUGCACGAAGUCGAAUUGCUAGUAAUCGUGGAUCAGCAUGCCACGGUGAAUACGUUCCCGGGCCUUGUACACACCGCCCGUCACACCAUGAGAGCCGGGGGGACCCGAAGUCGGUAGUCUAACCGCAAGGAGGACGCCGCCGAAGGUAUAACUGGUGAUUGGGGUGAAGUCGUAACAAGGU
rnacentral:rRNA from 1 species